CGACCGGAAACGGAAAUAGGUGGUUGUUUUCUUCUUCUCUCCAGCAGGGACGCGACAUAAAAUGGAGCACAAGCUGAUCCUGGCGGUGUCCGGCUUCCCGAGUCUCUACGACACCAACUCCCCGACCUACCGGGACCUCAACAUGCGGGCCGACUCCUGGCGACACGUCUCGGACAUCGUCGGUGUCCCCGAGGCAGAAUGCCGGAGGAAGUGGAAGACGCUGCGGGACCAGCACCGCAGGGAGAGGCAGCGGGAGAAGGACCGGCGGGAGAGCGGCAUCGGCCUCUUCAACUACCGGCCCUGGAGAUAUUCGGCCAUCUUGUCCUUUCUGAACCCGUUCAUCGACGCCAGAGCCGCGGGCUGCAACGGGUGGGCUCUGGACCCUCAGCCCCCCCAGCUCCACCCCUCUGAGACGGGCUGCAGCACCACCACGGACACCCGGAGCGACGACGAAGACCACUACGACGUCUCCGUAGUCGACGCCACAACAACCACCACCUCCUCCUCCUCCUCCUCGGAGUUCCUCCACAGGAAGCGUCCGUCUUCUGCCAGCAGAGACGGCGCCAUCGGGUUCAAGGAGGCGAAGAUGGAGUCAACCUCGGGGAUCGCCUGCGUUACGACGACGCCGCACGACAACAUGAGGGAGCUCUUUGAGGUGAUGAUGCAGUCGGUCACGUCUCUCGCCGCCUCCUUGGCCUCUUCCUCGGAUCAGCCUCCUCGUCCCGACCUCCGUCACCUCCCGCCACACCGAGCCCCCCCCGUGCCGCCCUGCACCGCGUCUAGGCUCAACCACUUGAAAACAGAGGAGCAGGAGGCCGUAGCGGCAGAGCUUCUGGACGACCGAACCGACGCCGAGGAGGAGGAGGAGGAGGAGGAGGCGUCCACUAGGCCGACCCGAGCCAGGGAGGCCCAGAGAGACCGGGACCUGGACCAGAGAGACCAUGUGACCCUGUUCCUCCUGAGCCUGGCUCCGGCCAUGAGGAGACUUCCUGCUGAGAAGCAGUCGUGGGUCAGGACCAAGAUGCAGCAGCUGCUGCACGAGGCCGAGUUCGGCGCUUUGAGUUUUCAGUGAUCCUUACAUGUUUUACAUUUUUAUCAAUACUUGUGAACUAAAAAAUAUAUUCACCUUCGAAGGAGUUUUUCUCCAUUUCUAUGAUAAUCUAACAGGUUUGUGCAGUUUUUUAAAAUAAAAACCCCAUUGUCAGUCAUUCCUAUCUUAUAUAUGAAUUAUUAAUGGAAAGUCAAACCACUUAUCCUGCACACGGGGUCGCGGGGGGGCAGGAGUCUGUCCCAGCCAACUUCAGGCGAUAGACGGGUUCAUCCCGACUGGUCACCAGCCCGCAGGGCCACACAGAGACGCACAACCAUCCGCCCAAAUGACAUUAAUCUUUAUUUAUCGGGACCGUUUUAAUGAUCAUAAAUAUACUAAACAAAUACAUAUAUACAUGGAAGAGGGAGGAUGAAGAUGAUGAACAGGGGGAGGAAGAGGAGGAGCUGGAAGACGCCAGCCCGGAAUCAUCCACCAACAACAAGCCUCUGACCGCCGGAGUGGGAAUGAUGGAGGCGGAGGAGGGCGGCGCUGCUCACAGCAACAUGGCGGACAACAAAGCUCACGGUUCAGGGUGAACCGGCUCCUCCGUGCACGGCACCAUGGACCGGGUGCACCACUCCCACGAAGCCUACAGCAGCAACGACCCGCACGGCCCCUUCCCGGACUACCGAGCCGGCUACGGGAGCAGGGGAUACGGGGCCACGAUGAGUCCCGGAGGUAGUCUGACGGGUCCCGGCGGCUCUGCUAAAGCAGCUGUGCUAGCUAGCGGCGGCAACGACGGGGGGUUGCAGCGGUUUCCCGGUCGGCAGCAGCUCCCCUCCGGGGCCACACCGACUCUGAAUCAGCUGUUGACGUCCCCGAGUCCGGUGAUGCGAGGCUACAGAGCUGGAUACCCGGAUUACAACAACCCUCCUGCGCAGCUACAGGCUAGCACGGGGCUAGCUGAGGAGACGAGCUCGGCUGCGCACGGAUGGGAAGGACAACAGGGAAGUCUCCCGACCACGAGCACGGGGGACACCCGUCGUAAACUCGUCUGACUACCGGUAAUCAGAGAAAGUCAUCUUACUGCAGCUAACAUGCUAACUCAGCCAGUUAGCCGCUAUGCUAGCCGAGAUAAGUUAGCCGAUUGGCUAGGUGGGGUACUUUAUCCGUUUCCACUGCAGACAGUUAAGUUACUUAUUCACACACCCAGUCAUUCUUACGACCAUAGUGUAAAUAAGUAGACGGCCGUUCAUUCAACCGCAAAUAACUGCCGUGAAAGUCAAAGUCAUUGUUUCGAUUCCGUGUCCAAGGUGACACCGUUGUUAGCAUGCUAAGGUAAUGUAAGCUACUGUUGCACAGGUGUUCCGGUGUGGGGGCUUUUGUUGUGAAGGGGGAGAGGAAGUUGGUGUGGUGUUGAACUGGGGCUGUUGAAAGAAGGAAGGAGGAAUAAAUGUUCUGCGCCGGUUCGGCUUUUAUUAUCUACACAAAUUAUAGGGGCACCCGAACCCCUCGGCUACAGUAACAUUAACUUCAGCUUUUGGUAUUUGCUGCCGACGCGAUGGCAGAUGUGUGUGUGUGUGUGUGUGUGUAGUUGCGUUGCUCUAUUGUCUGAGUAAAUUGACCGUAAUUACCGUUUUUCUCGGAUGUCCGUCUUCUUUGAUGUGUGGCAUCCAGUAGUGAUCGCAAAGUGAAGCUUUCC
ensembl:lncRNA